rnacentral:misc_RNA from 1 species
AGGAUGUUUAUAUAGGAGAAAAUCGCUGAAGAUAUGUUCUCCCGAAGACAAGAAACAGACUGGUCAGAACAAAGGCAUUACAGAUGGGAUAAUGAAACUGAAAACGAGACACAUACAGAAUCCAAAUAUGAAUCGUGUCAUAUAGGUUCUUCCUCAGAAAGAACAAUUCUCGGUUUGCCCCCAAGAGGUCCUCUGAAGAUUGAGGAUGUCAAGAAUGCUUUCCGCUUAUCAGCAUUAAAGUGGCAUCCUGAUAAACAUCAAGGCCCUUCACAGGCAGCAGCAGAAGAGAAAUUCAAAACUUGUGUCACUGCAUACAAGUCAUUGUGCAACGCGUUCUCCCCAGCUUAACCUUUAUCUGACGUAUCUAUGGCUUCUUUUCUUGGGAGUUUCAG